UACGUAGGGAGCUAGCGUUGUCCGGAAUUAUUGGGCGUAAAGCGCGCGUAGGCGGCCCGGUAAGUCCGCUGUGAAAGUCAAAGGCUCAACCUUUGAAUGUCAGCGGAUACUGCCGGGCUAGAGUCCGGAAGAGGCGAGUGGAACUCCUGGUGUAGCGGUGGAAUGCGCAGAUAUCGGAAGGAACGCCGGUGGCGAAAGCGGCGCGCUGGACCUCUUCUGACGCUGAGGCGCGAAAGCCAGGGGAGCAAACGGG
rnacentral:rRNA from 1 species